GUAAUUAAAACCAAAUCUUUAGAAUUACUAGUAGUUUCAACGAGUCAGGAAGAACAUCCAUCUUCCAAAGCAACAACCAUAAGUUUCAACACAAGGUCUGAAUUACAUCUUAAUAGACAGUCCGACGAGACCAUUGAGUGAAUAAGAAGUAUUUUAGUUCACAUGUUCUUUCUUGACGUGUUGGAUAAACCAGUUCAGCAUGUCCUGAUGUGCCUCUUGGGCGCGCUUAACAGCUGCAGCAUCAUCGGCUUUGUGUCUGACAGUCCAUCCAUGAGCAACCCCAGGAAAUAUCUUUACAAUGUGUCUUUCCUGACAAAUCAUGUGGCCCAAAAUCAUAUUGGAUCACAGAAUGUUAGCAUAUAUUUUGAGGGGUCCAUUUAGCAGAUUAAUCAAAUAGAUAAGCUAACAUUAUUUGAUAUUACAUUUAAGAUGCAUGUUCUGUAAUUUAGAGUCCAACAACAUGACUAAAUUGACCUGAAAAUGCUGCCAUAGGUGACUUACCUCAGAUGUUAAAGAUAAAGCCCGCUCAAACUGCUUCAACAGUUCAGGCGGAGAAAUAUGAUCAUUCUCAGCCCCAAGUAUUGAAAUAGGACAUUUAACACCUGGUAAAUGGUGAAAACAGAUCGUCUCAACUCUCAACAAUAAAAACAUGUUAAGAAAGCAUGAGUUUGACCAAUUCUUAAAGGAGGGAAUACCCUUCACAUCAUCAACAUUUACAAAAGAAGGAUGGCAAAGGACAGCAGCUUCAAUCUCACUGGACUUUGCUAAUUCGAAGACAACUUUGCCUGAGAUACAAGAAGUUGUAUUUCAGUCAAUAACAUAAGUUAUUCAAGUGUUUAAGGCUAAAUAAAGGUCUAGGACUACAUUUUUCAGAUCCAAAAGAUACAGUAAUUUUCCACUGUAAUAACAUCUGGGUCUUCACAAUCAGAGCUCAAAGUGCAUGCAUAAAAUAUCACGUGAGACUCACCUCCCCAGCAGAAGCCAGCGGCCCCAACUGCAGAUAUGCCUUUGUUCUUUAGAGCUGCAAUAAUUGGUUUUGCAUCUUGACAGCCUUUGUCCUAUGAAGGCAAAAAAACCUUGUUGUUUCCAUGCAUCAAUAUUUAUGUUAAAGCAAUUCAAAAGUGAUCUAGUGAAGAUGUCAUUUUGUAUUCUUUUCAGUCAAACAUUAUAUGAGACGAUUUUUUAUCCAUUGUCCACAUUCUGAAUUUGUAUGCUGAAACCCCAAUUGUACCAGUACCAUAGGAAUUAGAGAGAAAGUAAACUACAAUCACCUAAUAGGACACUAAAGGAACAGGAGACAGUCCCGGGCUGAAUGCACAUAACAUGAGCCAAAAUCUAGUGUUCUAGACAACGUAUGGAUAAACUAGAUCAUGAUAUGCAUGUCCAAUUUUUCUUCUCCAAUAGUGUGUUUCAGAUAUUAAUGGCAAGCAAGAACACAUUUUGUGCCAUACUGCUCUAUGAACCAUUCCAGUGAGAAUGGGAUGCAUACUGCCUUUGUACCAGGGGUAUCCCUGUCCUAUGUCGAACAAUAAUAUACUAUUCUGUAAUUUAAGCAACUCAACAACGAAACCAACCCAAGCCACUCAUACUGGCCCAGUAUAUAUCCGGUUAGGUUCGAUAAACAUCACAUAGCCUGCACAGACCAGUCUAAAAUUAUGUAGUCAUAAUAGAUUGGUAAACAUCAUGCAGCCUACACAGACCAGUUUAAGAUGAAGUCAUAAUAGACACUUGCCGAAUUGGAUUAGGCUCAUAAAGAAGAGGAACAAAUGGGGUAUAGCUGUCUGCCUCCAGCCAUUUUUCUCUCCAUGAUAUUUCUUGGCUCUUUCUCAUUCCUUUAUUUUCUUUUUCUAUUCAAGUGAUAUGAGUCAGUACCCAGUAUAAUAAGGUAAUACAGGGUCCAGUAUUAAAAGUAGAAUCCUUCGUCACUAGGUGCGAUUAAUUUUAGAAGACUAGUUCAAGGCCACACCCCAAAAGACCCAAUAAACAUAGGAAACUAUAGCCAAUGCUGAUCCUAAGGUAUCAGAUCUGAUCAGCUUAGACCACGCAGGAAAAUAACAAGCAAACAAAUGCUGAAAUGCUUAAGCAAAAUAUCUACAGCCAGCAAAAAAAUUAGAGGCUUAAGAGAUGACAAAGGAAAAUGCUCAAGAAGACCCGCUAACACUAAAGAAUGAGAUCCAUAUUCCAUAGAAGAUUCAACAUUCAUCAUGAAAAUCUCAAGUACCUCGAGAAAACACACACACACACACACACACACACACACACACACACACACACACAUAUAUAUAUAUAUAUACUUAUACCAUAUCUCAGGUACCUAGAAAAAUCUCUUGUUGACUCCUUCAACUUCCGAUCUCCUUGGCAUAAGGUCCGAUCCUUCGGCCCGAUGCCCGAACUCAUGGCACGAAGCCUUCUGUCGAUACGUCGAUCGAUCCUAUGGUUCGACAUCCAAUCUCCUGACAUAUUUCACUCUGGCCCAACGUCUGAUUCCUUCUGCUUUUAUCAAUUUGCCUUUUUUGAUCGAAGUUAGUCCUGCGUCACUUAAAAUGCAGAUUAGAUCAUAACUUUAUCAAUUAAUUUCAUUAUCAAAAUCCGAGAUUCGAUAGAAAGCACCUUAUCUAGGGUCUUUCAAGGUCUUGUUUCGCCUGAGUAUCUAGGUAAGCACUACGAUGCUUUAUAACAACACUAACUUAUACACACACACACACAUACAUAUAUAUACAUUCUCCUCCCUCUUUUCAUGUCAUUACUCAUUAUCUACGUCUAUUUUCUCUUCUAUCUACUGCUACUUGAAUCAACAGCACGUUGGUAAUUAUUUUCAACUCGUUCAGUCCAAAAUUUGAAUUAUUUGUUUCAACUCAAUCACUUUUGCCCUAAAAUAAAUAUGCCAAUUCAAUGUGCACCAAGGUGUAGCUCAAUAGUCCUUUGUAAGUACAAAUUCAUCUAAUCUCACUGUGGUAGGUGUGUUCAUGAUAAUACUGGAGCAUGCACCACAAACCAUGUUCUAAUUGAUCUCAAAAGAGUUCCAGAAGUGCAGGAUGAAAUCACUCAGUACAAAAAGAACUUGCAGUCUUGAUGAGGGUAAUAAUUGCGAUAAGACUCACGUGACAUCAACUGCACCAGGUGACGCAUCACACCUCUGUCAACUUGAUGAGGCACCCGAUCAACGCGAACCGGAACGCCUACCAAGGCACAUUAACACCCCGCUCAGGCUCGAUCCCUCACGCCACGCCAGUAUCGAUGUCAGACGCUACCAGGAGUACGAUCCUGUGGGCAGGCACAUCAGGCGACGGUAACUCCCGCUAUAAAAACCCUCGUGCUCCGAGGGAGAGGGAAGCGAAAAAACUUAGCUAAACAAACCCCCUGUGACUAUCCACUAACUUAAUCGUCGGAGGGGUCGGGUCGAGCUUCCCGACUCGACCUGUGUGCAGGUGCGAAGACGGUGGCCUCCCACUAAACGCCCUGGCCAGGAGCCUCCUCCCGGAGAAAACGACGACCCCGUUCCGAUCGGACCAUCGUAGCCGGCCACCUCAACGGACUCAAAGGUCGUCCCGGGAAGAUCCCCCCAUCAUCCGGACCCGAACCAAGCCGCGUCGGCACCAAGGCCACGGCUCAAGGUUGUUUACACUAUCAUUUUGCCGCUAGAAGGAGGGCCCAAAAUGUCGGGUGAUCACCCGAGCAGCUCAGAUGAGCCCGCGGCUGAGAGGUCGCACCCGAUUGGAGCCUCGGGGGAACAUCCCCCGCACGGAGAUCAUCGUGACGAACACCCUGCCACGACCUCAGAGCGCUAUUGGCGGAUAUUCAACGACCUGGGCCUGUUUCCGCCCCACGGCGCCCCCGCCGACCCCUCGCCCGUGUCGUCCGAGGCAUUUCAGGACCUCGCUCAUCAAGUCCGAGCUCUGACGGGUAUGGUGCAAACCAUUAUCCCGCUCGUUUCUCAUCCGGCGCACCCGCCUGCGAUCCAACCACUGCGGCAAGCCGCCCGUUCGGGCCCACACGCCACUUCCGGAGCUCCCCACUUCGCCUCGGGUCUGAUCGGCCCCACUCGGGUAUCGAGUGAUGGCAAACCCGAGCGGCCACCCGAAACCCGAGGCAUUCUCUUCGGAUUCUACGGACUCCCUGCGGGCCCAGUUGCGCUUCGUCAGCCAGCGACUCGACGAGGUGCAGAAAGAGGUUCGCAGGUCUAAGGGAGAGCUCGGGGAGGACGCACAUCAGGGAUCUCCGUUCACACCCGAGAUACAGGAUCAGAUAGUCCCCUCGAACUUCCGGCUCCCCUCUCUGGACACAUAUGACGACGCCACCGACCCAGCGGACCACGUAGCCACUUUCCGUGCCCAAAUGGCGUUGUAUGGAACCUCUAACGCUUUGAUGUGCAGGGCGUUUCCCACGACUCUGAGGGGGCCAGCCCGCACAUGGUACUGCGGUCUGAAGACCGGGACGAUCGCCUCCUUUGAUCAGCUCGUCAAAGACUUCGAGCUUAACUUCUUGGCCUACGCCCAGCCGAAGCCGUCCGUUACACUGCUCCUCGGACUCAACCAAAGGGAGGACGAGCCUCUCUCCCAUUUUGUGAAUCGCUUUACAACACAAAUCCGGGGGUUGCCGGACGCUCAUCCCUCUCUGUUAAUGCAAGCGUUUAUGAUAGGCAUGCGACAUUCCAGAUUCCUCUGGUCCCUCGUGGAGCGACCCCCCACCACGGUACCAGAUAUGCUCCAGCGGGCUAGCCAGAACAUCGCGGUGGUGGCCUGGGCGGUCGUGAGGAGAAGGGACGACUUUUGGCAACGGGCUCCAUAGAAGAGGUCAAGCACCCGCGGUGGCUAUCCGAUGUAGUCAUCGUGAAAAGAAAUCUAGGCCCUACCUCAGUCUCUUCCGAGCGAAGGUUCAGUAUCUACCUGACCGCCUCCCGGCUCGCGGUUAGCCCCGGCCUAAUCCCCUUUGUAUCUACACGCCUCGGCCGCAGCCCGCUUGCGCCGUGCUCCUCGGCCGCAUGUUGCCCGAGACCACACCUGCGCGGCCUACCCGCCUGCAUCGUGCUCCUCGGCUCCAUGCUGCCCGAGACCACACCUGCGCGGCCUGCCCGCCAACGUCGUGCUCCUCGGCCGCAUGUUGCCCGAGACCACACCUGCGCGGCCUGCCCGCCUGCGUCGUGCUCCUCGGCUCCAUGCUGCCCGAGACCACUGCCUCUGCACGGCCUGCCCACCCGAGCCGUGCUCCUCGACCGCAUGUCGCCCGAGACCGCUACCUCUGCACGGCCUGCCCGCCUGANNNNNNNNNNNNNNNNNNNNNNNNNNNNNNNNNNNNNNNNNNNNNNNNNNNNNNNNNNNNNNNNNNNNNNNNNNNNNNNNNNNNNNNNNNNNNNNNNNNNNNNNNNNNNNNNNNNNNNNNNNNNNNNNNNNNNNNNNNNNNNNNNNNNNNNNNNNNNNNNNNNNNNNNNNNNNNNNNNNNNNNNNNNNNNNNNNNNNNNNNNNNNNNNNNNNNNNNNNNNNNNNNNNNNNNNNNNNNNNNNNNNNNNNNNNNNNNNNNNNNNNNNNNNNNNNNNNNNNNNNNNNNNNNNNNNNNNNNNNNNNNNNNNNNNNNNNNNNNNNNNNNNNNNNNNNNNNNNNNNNNNNNNNNNNNNNNNNNNNNNNNNNNNNNNNNNNNNNNNNNNNNNNNNNNNNNNNNNNNNNNNNNNNNNNNNNNNNNNNNNNNNNNNNNNNNNNNNNNNNNNNNNNNNNNNNNNNNNNNNNNNNNNNNNNNNNNNNNNNNNNNNNNNNNNNNNNNNNNNNNNNNNNNNNNNNNNNNNNNNNNNNNNNNNNNNNNNNNNNNNNNNNNNNNNNNNNNNNNNNNNNNNNNNNNNNNNNNNNNNNNNNNNNNNNNNNNNNNNNNNNNNNNNNNNNNNNNNNNNNNNNNNNNNNNNNNNNNNNNNNNNNNNNNNNNNNNNNNNNNNNNNNNNNNNNNNNNNNNNNNNNNNNNNNNNNNNNNNNNNNNNNNNNNNNNNNNNNNNNNNNNNNNNNNNNNNNNNNNNNNNNNGUGCUCCUCGGCCGCAUGUUGUCCGAGACCACGCCUGCGCGGCCUGCCCGCCUGAGCCGUGCUCCUCGGCCGCCUGUCGCCCGAGACCACUGUCUCUGCGCAGCUUGCCCGCAUGAGCCAUACAACCCCUGCGCGGCCAGCCCGCCUGAGCCGUGCUACUCGGCCGCAUGUCGCCCGAGACCGCAACCUCUGCGCGGCAUGCCCGCUUGAGUCGCGCUCCUCGGCAUUGUGCUGCCCGAGACCUCUGCCUCUGCGCGGCCUGCCCGCCUGAGUCGCGCUCCUCGGCUCCGUGCUGCCCGAGACCACUGCCUCUGCGCGGCCUGCCCGCCUGAGCUGUGCUCCUCGGCCGCAUGUCGCCCGAGACCGCUACCUCUGCGCAGCCUGCCCGCUUGAGUCGCGCUCCUCGGCUCCGUGCUGCCCGAGACCACUGCCUCUGCGCGGCCUGCCCGCUUGAGCCGUGCUCCUCGACCGCGUGUCGCUCGAGACCACAACCUCUGCUCGGCCUACUCGACUGAAUUAUGCUCCUCGGUCGCAGACUACCCAGGGUCACCGCUGCGCACGCGACCCUCCUUGAAUAUUGAACUCCAUGAUCCCCGCACCCCUGGCAACGGACCGGCUAACGCUCGGCAGGGACAGAUUCUCAAAGCCGAAGCCAUGCAUCGGACUCCCAGUACAACAACCGACACAUAGCUUCUUUCCGGGAGGGAAUAUGAUGAGGGUAAUAAUUGCGAUAAGUCUCACGUGACAUCAGCUGCACCAGGUGACGCAUCACACCUCUGUCAACUUGAUGAGGCACCCGGUCAACGCGAACUGGAACGCCUACCAAGGCACAUUAACACCCCGCUCAAGCUCGAUCCCUCACGCCACGCCAGCAUCGAUGUCAGACGCUACCAGGAGUACGAUCUUGCGGGCAGACACAUCAAGCACAUCAGGCGACGGUAACUCCCACUAUAAAAACCCUCGUGCUCCGAGGGAGAGGGGAGGUAAAAAACUUAGCUAAACAAACCCCCUGUGACUAUCCACUAACUUGAUCGUCGGAGGGGUCGGGUCGAGCUUCCCGACCCGACCUGUGUGCAGGUGCGAAGACGGUGGCCUCCCACUAAACGCCCUGACGAGGAGCCUCCUCCCAGAGAAAACGACGACCCCGUUCCGAUCGGACCAUCGUAGCCGGCCACCUCAGCGGACUCAAAGGUCAUCCCAGGAAGAUCCCCCCAUCAUCCGGACCCGAACCAAGCUGCGUCGGCCCCGAGGCCGCGGCUCAAGGUUGUUUACACUAUCAAGUCUUAUGAUAAAAACACCUUAUCAAUAAAAAUUGGAGGAUUAUGUUUUUCCUUUGGUUAUCCAUUCUAUUGAUUUUUUUUUCCGCUAUUAACAAUUUUUCAGAUGAAUAACAAACACACUUUCUUUCACUAAGAUCAAUGGGAAAUUCUUUCAUUCAUAUAGUGUUUGUCAAAAUAUAGUGCCAGAACAACCGGAGAAAAUUACCCAAACAAUGAUUUACUCCCCUUGUACAGGGAGAAAUUCAAGAUGCAAGAUAAGAAACCAACCGGGGAAUGAGACUGUAUCCAAAUCGAAAUAGGCCUCUCAGGAUUAUCAGCUGAAUAGGGAUCGUCAUAUAAGAGAUCUGGUACCACAACAAAGAAACCUGAGGUGGCAAUUUUAUCUGCAAUUUUCCUUUACAACCAGACAUUGCAAGUGUAAGCAUUAAAAGUUCACAAAAUCUUUAAUGCAAUAAAAGGAAAUAAAAUGAAGAUGUAAAUGUAGAUAAACAACAGAAAACAACCAAUAAAACAUUACCAACCAUCAGAAAAAAUAAUACAGAAUCCUAGGAUUAUCUCCAAUCCAAAAUAUAAAUUUUGUUUGAAAUGACCAAGAGUUCAGAAAGAAAUAUCAUAAUUUUGUAGCCUGGUGGUGUUACGAUACAAACAAUUGAAAUGGGUUAAAACACUAAAAAACCAACAAAGCAGUCCAUGCUGCCUGCAAACAAUGAUGGUAGAACAGGCUUUGUGACAGUCCACCCUACUGGGUUUAUGAAAUUAGUAAUAACAGAGAUUAUCGCAUCCGUGUUCUGAAUUUAUUGGAUAAUAUCAGCAAGAAUACAGAAUAUUUUGGUAAGAAAUAUUAAGUUUCAUGUAGAAUUACAAACGAUCAAACAGCCUUUCAGUGAUAUAAAGAAGAUGAUAGGGGAAAAUAGACACUCGAUAUAACGUGAACAAGUACAAAGACAUAAAUUUAGGGCCACAGUUGAACAGAAGCAGUUCAUCAUAUACAGAAAAGAGGCAGAGGCACCUAUGAUUAGACCAAUCAUAAACACAGCCAGCUAAAAAGAGUAAAUAGGAUGUCUUUCAGCUUUCUUAACUAUCAGUGAGACUUGGGAACUACUUCGGCUUGAUCAUGUGAUAUGAGCUUAUGAUUCCACCAAAUUAGCCCCUAGCACUGCCUAGCCACAUAAUUCGACCAUUCCAUUGAUCGUUUUUCUUGCUAUUUUGUUAUUGAAUAUAUAUAUUUCCAAGGUAUUGUACGUUCAUAUACUUGGCUGUAUAAGCUUUUUUCAGCUGAAAAUAUUAGUGCAUGAUCGAUCAAAAGCUCAUGUCUCAUAUUACUAACAGUCUCACGUCAAUUAAUAUUUUGUACCACCAUCUGUUUGGGUCUUAAUCAUAUGAUUACUAAUCCACCAUACUGACCAAAGUCAGAGAACUUUCAAGGUCAAAUAAGUGCCUCAGGUCUUCCCCUCUGUUUGCUGUACUAAGAAAGAACCGACAUGGAGAUCACAGACCACCAGAACGGUUUACCUAGAAGAUGCCCUCAGAAGUUUCCUUCUAAUGUCAACGUGGGCAAGCCAAUAAAACACAUGGAAGACAACCAAAUCGGAAGUCACACAAGUCACGGCCUAAACACAAACGCCAAUAAAUGAAAUCGGUACCUCAAAUUCGGCGCUUCGAAUCCUGCAAACAUUCCAUCGGACGAAGCAUGUCAGCGACACAACCGUAAGAAAGAAAGAAAGCACAAAGGCCCUAGAAACCCUAAGCAUACAUACGGACGGAAGGAGAAGCGGGAACGGGCAAGAGACGGACGGAAGCUUAAGAGAGGAGCAGAGUACAUCACCGUAUACGUCGGAGAUGAGGAGAACAGCGAUCUUGGAGUUAGGGGAGCCGGCGGUGUACGCCCUGACGCCGCCGAGGUCGUCGACGACGAUGCCGUCGCCACAGGCAGGGCUUAGAGUCGGCGGGUUGGCGCAGCACUGGGGGCUCGCCAUCUUCACGGCUUCUUCUCUCCUCUCUUUCCUGUGAGAUCUGUGCCGAGGGUGGCGAGUAGUCCAAGGACGGGGGAGUGGAUGCAGUAGCUACAACAAGGACGCACGAGGUCCACAUGUUCGCCCCCACCAAACCUCUUUUUAUUCGAAGAAAUAUCGUAUAUUAUGUACGAAACAAACUUAGCCGAAUGUAAUGUUUUUAACUAAAAAAAAUUCAUCAACCACAAUUAUUUUAAAUUUAAAAAAUAUAUUAUUUAAAAUAUAAAUAUAAAACUUCCUCACACCUAUGUGUUCUUUUUUUAGUUAUUAAGUUGAAUGUGCACUAUUGCCUUGCCAGUUGAACGAAAAUGUAUGUGAUAGGGUAAUCUGCCAUUAUCCCUAGCCACAUCAGCAUAAAGGACGAUACGUCGAAUUGUACCCCACGGUCAAUGCCAUUCUGUAAAAGUCAAAUGACGUCAAUUGAGUACGGCACCGUCUUGUGAAGAUUGAGUUGUCGUCAAUCGAGAACCACGCCGAUCCUCAAGAGUCUGGACGGUGCUGACCAAAUACUGCACCACCCCACGAAGACUGGGUUGGCAUCGACUAAGGACAAUGCCUUCCCAUAAUGAUCGGGUCAACACGGUCCAAGUAUAAUACCGACAAUCAUAAAUAUGAUAAGUACAACUGAUCUCCUAGCAGAAGAAUAAAAAUCCCGUAUGGGACCAAUAACAAGGGACUUCGGCUCCUUUUUUUCACUCAGUGCUAACAAGAUCUUUUGAGGGGUCGAAAUCGAAAACCCCCUUCCCAACCCCGACCUGUAUGUAGGGAUCGAAGAUAGAGAGGCAAGCGACCAGCCAAUUGGAGCUUCCAGGAAUGAAAAUGUAUGAUAUUUAUAGUCAAACUCUGAUCUCAAAUGUCACUAAACAAAAAAAAUUUGAGAUGCCGAGGUAUAGAAAUAUAUAUUAUCGUUAAAUAUCAUAACGGUUUCUUUUGCAAACACUACACUGAUACAAAUGGGAGUUUAUAAUUAAACGUCCAAUUUUCAAAACAUGGAACUUGUGAAAAUUAUCUCUUUCCUCUGGCCAUUGUCUUUCCACCCAAGCAUUCAUAAAUCUAAAAGAAAAAUUAUUUUUUACUUCUUACUUAAUAUCAGUUUUAUUUUUCUAUUUUAGAAAACAAAAUCACGGCAUCCACCAUUGUCCGAAAUGGCUACGCUUCACCACCAUCGGCCCAUUUCACUGUCCGUUCUCCCUCCUCUCUCCCGGCUGAGACCUUCUUCGGCUAUCCCCGCAACGCUGUUCUCGCGCCCACCGCUCUCCGGACUGCCGUGCGCUCCGAUAUCUGCUCGGGCCAUCCGCGAUAAGCGCGUCCUUGGACCCGUCCGUGGAUGCGCGACCUCAGAUUCCGCGAUUUUCCCCGGGUCUUCACCCUCGCCGAGGAUCUUUAUCAAAGGUAUUCACUUUGUAAGUCUCGUCGGUUAUAGAAUGGAUUCGAAACGUGUUCUUGCCGUAAGGACCAGAAAUUAUCAACGACUAUCCGGUUGCAGUCAUUAUGUUCGACGGAUUGCCGUUCUGAAAAAGUAAUGACUUAUACACGUCAUGACCUACACUAUAUCCUUGCAAAGUUGAUUAUAAUAUAGCAUGCAUGCAUGUUGCUUGAAAUAUGAUGAUCCUCGCAAUAUACCUCUCCUGUUAACAUAAAUUUGGGAAACUCAGGUGUUUAACCUAUAGUUAGUUUGAAAUUUUCUCUUAAAAAAAAAUUAAAAUGGAUAAAAUUCUCUUAAUAUUUUUAUUAUCAUUAUAGUUUUACCUUAAUGUUCUACUGCAUAAAGCAAGUUUUGUAGUUUUGCAAGGACACACACACACACAUACAUAUAAAUAAAUAAAUAAAUAAAUAAAUAAAUAAAUAAAUAUAUAUAUAUAUAUAUAUAAAAUUAAAUUUGGAGGGGUGAAAGCAAAAGUAAAAGUUAUUUUGGAUGGACCUGUACGUGAAACUUACCUAUUUAUAUUUUACUUUUUUUGCAAAAGUAUCAAAACAUGAUUCAUGCUCAACAACGAACUUAUGGUUUUAAGAACACCAUUGUAUCUCACAUAGGCACAAAUGCAUGAUCUUCAGCUAAGACAUGGCACAUUUGAGGCCCAUGGAACAAAGCUAUCUUUACAUCAAACAGUGUGUGUGUGUGUGUGUGCAUGGGAUAUGCAGAUUACAUUUGGCCCAUGGACACAGAGUCUUCUUGGUUUUUGCUCCAAGGAGGAGAAGUACCUCAUAUCCAUGUAAAUCAGCUUAAUAAUUUGUAAUAAUCAAUUGGAGGUUGUGGUGGUGUUGUUAAGUUUGGAACAAACAAAACAAUACUAAGGUUAAUGAGGAAGUCUGAAUCUCCAGAAUAAGAAUGGGCAAAUGAUGCAUUUGAUGGAAGAGAUCAACUUGUAAAAUUCUAGCACUUAUAGGAAGAUAAUAAAAGAGAAAUUGGCAUUAAUAGAUCCAUCAUAACAUAGUUUNNNNNNNNNNNNNNNNNNNNAUUUCGUUUACUGAUGCUCAAACUUUGGAUAAGACCUUAUCAGAGAAUUUAGUAUUAGAAGUCCAAGUCACUCAGCAUAACUGGUUCCCUGGGGAUCUUUCUAAAAGACCCCAAGGGUUUCCAUGUUUUAUUGUUAUGGAGUUUUAAGAACUGGUUUGGCUGCUAUAACAUCAGUCCUGCAAUUAUUCUGUUCUUGAGAAAGCAGCCUGAGCUUCUUGCCUUGGAACUUUUGCACGGCAUUAGAGUUGACCUCAUGAACAUAAACCCAUGUUCUGAAGUUAAACCUGAUUAAAGUGAGGUUAAUCAAGUUAAGAUAAUCCAAGUUGAUGCAUAGGUAAGAUUUCAAAUAUGCUUGGCACUGGUUUAAACAGGUAUCUGAUAUCAGUCACUAAGAGACUUAGUUUCUAACAAACUUGCAACUAUAUAUAUAUAUAUAUAUAUAUAUAUAUAUAUAUUAAUGUGCCUUUGCUAAGAUAUCCUAGUAGUUAAUGUGUCUCAACUUGAAGUUUCUAUGAGAGUGUUUUAUCAUAUUGUCACGAACGGUCGUCGCACACUCGCAACAACUCCGUUCAACGAACCGUUCGUCGCUCACACCUACAUGUACAACUGCUUGACAACAUGUUUUCUCUUGGUUUUGGGUCAUUUUGCUUGUAAAAAUGUAAGUUCGAACAAGCUGCAGUGUUACAAAGCGAUCGCUCACCGAACCGAGCAAAACAGCCCCAAAACAGCUUCGUUUUCGUGUGCCAUGAGCUGAUUUCUGGAAUCUGCCUUCGCUCACCAAAACGUCAGCCAUCUUAGCCCCUUGAAACCCCUCGGGUGGCACAGGGCUGGAUGGGGCUUCGGUAUAGUAUCGGGCAUUGAACACUCCUUCGUAAGUUCGCACGUUGCCUUGAUGGGAACUUGUUGUCGCGCUCGGGACUUGGUGAGCAGCUGUUUGUGAGCUUACAGCUGUUCGUUUAACCUUCUAAAGCCCUUAUUUUUUCCCUCUCUCUCUUUUCUCUUGUGCACGCAAGGUGCUCGCUGAAUUGCUUGUAAAGCUUCCUCUUUUUGUGAGACUUCGGGGCUUGUCCGUCACUCGUUCUUUCGAACUAAUCAACUUUCUCUUUUACAGGUCCUUCAGGACCUGCGAGAGGUUGCAAGUGGGCUGAUCUUUGCGGAGCAAUAUUGAAAGGGCGAAGUGUGACUUAGGCAACGUAAGCUAAGUUCGCAUCUUGGCCGCAAGGGUGCCUCAUGCCUUAGGCAAUUCCAGCUAAGGCCAUGAUAUUGUGGUAUCAGAGCGGGCAAGCACUUCGAGCGAGCAGCGAAGGAACUUCGCAACUUCGCCAUGGCAAAGCAUCGUGGUGAAUCGAGCAAGAUGAGGCAAGUCGAACCCUUGCCCCAAGCAGCGUAGGUGGGCUGCAUGUGCACACUCGCUCUUAGGUUAUUGGAGCCGCUCAAGAGGAGCGCGACAAUGAACAUGCUGAGCGAGAAGUUGGCUACUCUCCGCGAGCGGAGGAGUCACAGUCUGGAGCGCCAAUUGGGAAAAAGAGUCACAAGGAGAGACUCACAACUGUGGAAACCUGCUUGGAUGUUCUUGAAGCGAGCAUGGAGGAACUCUACCAUGGCCAACAAAGGUUUGUUGGGGUAGAGAGCUCGCAAGAGGAAGCGGAGUCAAGGAUCGACAAGGUCGAGGCCCUAGUCGACCGACUAUCUGAUGACACCAAAGACUCCGUGCAACACUUACAAGAUGUUGUGGCGGAACUCAGUUCAAAGGUGGGUAUGCUCACAAGAGCACUAAAUGCAAGAGGAAGCAACACCCGCGUUGAACCACCAUAAAACUUGAGGGCACUCGAGCCUCAUGGUUAUGGAGGGGCCAGAGAUGCCAAAGAGCUCAAGAAUUUUCUAUUCGACAUGGAAUAAUACUUUCGAGCUACGAGGCCUGAUUCUGAAGAUACCAAAGUUUCUAUAGCAACAAUGUAUCUGAACGGAGAUGCGAAACUUUGGUGGCGAACUCGUUGGGAGGAGAUCCAACAAGGUCGGUGUCGGGUUGACACAUGGGAAGACUUGAAGCGGGAGUUGAGAACUCAGUUCCUACCGGAGAACACAUAGUUCGUCGCAAGAAGGAAGUUGAGACAACUCCGCCAGAGUACCACCAUUCGAGACUAUGUGAAACAAUUUUCUGCACUAAUGUUGGACAUACAGGACAUGUCCGAGAAGGACAAAUUGUUCAGCUUCCUCGAUGGUUUGAAGCUAUAGGCUCAACAGGAACUAAAUCGAAGGAAUGUCACCGAUGUGGUCGGGGCAAUUGCUGCUGCAGAAAGGCUCACCGACUUUGUUUCCUCCGAAGACCCAAGGAGAAGGAAACAAUCUUCAGGCAAUCGCCCUCUAAAACAUUCUCGAGGGAAGGAGCUCGGGGGUGAACAAAAGAAGAAGAGUUCCCACAAAGGGCCAAGCCCGAAAGGCAAGGUCUCGAAACCUGGUGGAUCCUUCUUGUGCGGAGGGCCACACAUGGUGAGGGAGUGCCCACAAAAACAGGCACUCAAUGCGCUAACAGCUUCCAUCUACCCUCCCAAAUCGGACAAGGACAAGGCUGUCGCUCUUAGUUCGAGAAGUUCUGAACCCAGCAGCGACGAUGAGGAGUCGCAAGGACCCCGGAUGGGAGCCAUGCGUUUGUUGAACGCCAUGCGGGGUCAAGUGAGGGAGAACCUGAAGACAAGGCAACAAAAAGCAGGAAGUGGCGAGCUAAUGUAUGGUGACAUCAAGCUCAAUGGCCAAACAACUCGUGCAAUGGUGGACAUGGGCGCUACCCAUAACUUUAUAGCCGAUCGAGAAGCAAAGCGACUUGGGUUGAUCUUAGAGAAAAGCCCAAGUCGAAUGAAGGCGGUGAACUCAAAGGCCAAGCAAAUCUCCGGAUUAGCAAAGGGAGUUCCCAUCAAGAUCGGAAUAUGGAGCGGGAACACCAACAUGAUGGCGGUGCCAUUGGACGACUUCCAAGUAAUUCUUGGAAUAGAGUUUAUGCAGGCGGCGAAGUUGGUGCCUAUGCCGUUCCUAAACUCCUUGUGUAUGAUGGAAGGCGACGACCCUUGCGUGGUUCCUAUCUCUUAGAGAGGAACCAAGGAACCGCAACAUAUAUCGACGUUGCAACUAAAGAAAUGGGUGCGAAAAGGUGAAUUAACCUUCGUGGCUGCAAUGAAGCUAGAGCCACUUGACAAGAAGGCCAUUUAAGAACCCGUUGUGGUGGCGAACGUCCUGAAAGAGUUCAAUGACGUUAUGCCACCCGAGUUGCCGAAGACUCUUCCACCACGCAGGGGCGUGGAUCACAACAUUGAGCUGGAGCCAGGAGUGAAGCCUCUAGCGAGACCACCCUACCGCAUGCCCCCGCUAGAGUUGGCAGAACGCCGGAAGCAAUUAGGCGAAUUGCUAAGCGGUGGUCUCAUCCGCAGCUCUAAAGCACCUUUCGGAGCUCCAGUUCUCUUCCAGAAGAAACAAGAUGGGAGCCUCCGACUAUGCAUCGAUUACCGAGCCCUUAACAAAGUGACAAUGAAGAACAAGUAUCCCAUCCCGCUCAUCGCGGACUUGUUCGACCAGUUGAGCAAAGCCAAGUAUUUCUCAAAGCUUGACCUUCGGUCGGGGUAUUGGCAGGUGCGCAUUGCUGAAGGCGACGAAGCGAAGACUACUUGUGUGAUCAGGUAUGGAGCAUUUGAGUUCUUGGUGAUGCCUUUCGGCUUAACCAACGCUCUGGCCACGUUCUGCACUCUCAUGAACUAGCUAUUCAAGGAGUAUUUGGAUAAGUUCGUGGUCGUCUACUUGGACGAUAUCGUCGUCUACAGUCAAACGCUCAAGGAGCAUGUCAAACACCUUCGGACAAUUUUCAAGGUUCUCAGGGAGAACACUUUGUUCGUGAAAAGGGAGAAAUGCUACUUUGCUCAAACUGAGAUCUUAUUCUUGGGGCAUCGAAUCGGUGAUGGCUCCAUUCAGAUGGAUAAGUCGAAGGUGCAAGCAGUUGUGGAAUGGCGAACUCCAAAGAAGGUGCCAGAGUUGAGAUCCUUCCUUGGUUUCGUCAACUACUAUCGACGCUUCAUAGCGGGAUAUUCAAAGCGUGCAACUCCACUGACGGAGUUGCUGAAAAAGGAGCAGCCUUGGAAGUGGUCUGACAAAUGUGAAAUAGCAUUACAAGAUUUGAAGGUUGCUGUUAUGGAAGAACCGAUGCUCAAAUUGCCGGACUAUGGAGAGCCCUUUGAAGUCCAUACAAACGCUUCGGACUUCCCUAUUGGGGGAGUACUCAUGCGGGAGGGUCAUUCGGUGGCCUAUGAGAGCCGCAAACUCAACGAGACCGAGCGACGGUAUCCAGUGUAUGAGAAGGAGAUGACAGCGGUGAUCCACUGUCUACGAGUUUGGCGACACUACCUCCUCGAGUCACGAUUUGUGCUGAGGACAGACAAUAUCGCUCUGAGCUAUUUCCAAACUCAGAAGAAGCUCUCCCCAAAGCAGGCGUGAUGGUAGGACUUCCUGGCUGAAUUUGAUAUGGCAAUGGAGUACAAGCCCAGGAAAGCGAAUGUCGUGGCCGAUGCGCUGAGUCGGAAAGUGGAAUGCGUGAAUGUCGUACAACUGGAGGGCAGAGGCUAAGCAAGUCAGUUGCACUUCAACUUCCUUUCCCGGAUCAAGGAUGGACUGUAUAGUGACCCUCAAGCAGUCAUCCUGAUGCAGCUCAUCAAAGAAGGCAAGGCCCAACGAUUUUGGGUCCAAGAGGGACUCGUAUACACAAAAGGGAAUAGGGUUUAUGUUCCUCGGGUGGAUAAUUUGAGGCGUGAACUCCUAAAAGAGUGUCACGAUUCCCUUUGGGCUGGACGCCCAAGUAUUCACCAAACAUUGGCUCUCGUGAAGAGGGCCUUUUACUGGCUGAAGAUGGGGAUUGAUGUGGAGGAAUAUGUUCGAACGUGCCUCACUUGCCAACAAGACAAGGCGGAACAACGGAAGCCGGUGGGACUUUUGGAGCCGUUGCCCGUACCAGAAAGGCCGUGGGAGAGCAUUUCCUUGGACUUCAUAUCAAGCUUGCCACUUGUAGGGAGACUCGGGUCGAUACUCGUGGUGGUCGAUCAGUUUUCAAAGUAUGCAACUUUCAUUGCUGCUCCCCUACACUGUUCAGUAGAAGAGGUGGCCAAGCUGAUGAUGAAGGAUGUGGUGAAGUAUUGGGGAGUCCCGCACAAUAUCAUCAGUGAUCGAGACGCUCGGUUCCUGGGACGAUUCUGGACCGAGCUAUUUAAAUUGUUGGGGUCAAAGUUAUACUUCUCCAUAAGCCUCCAACCCCAGAUGGAUGGCCAGGCUGAAUGAAUAAACUCGCUCUUGGAGCAAUAUCUUCGGCACUACAUGAGUGCCAACCAACGAGAUUGGGUGAAGUUGUUGGACAUUGCCCAAUUCUCCUACAACUUGCAGCGGAGCUCUGCGUCCAACAAGAGCCCCUUCGAGAUUAUUACAGGACAACAACCGUCAACUCCUCACACCAUGGCAAUUGGGUAUAUUGGGAGUAGUCCGUCAGCUUACCACUUCGCAAAGGAGUGGCACCGAAAUGCAGAUAUUGCGCGGGCUUACUUGGAGAAGGUGGCAAGAAGAAUGAAGAAGUGGGCAGACUUGGGAAGACGACCGCAAGAGUUCAAGGUCGGUGAUUUGGUGUUGGUAAAGCUCCAACCAAUAUCACUCCAAUUCUUCAGGAACAAAAUCCACAAAGGAUUGGUGCACAAGUAUGAAGGGCCCUUCCCAAUUAUUAGCAGGGUAGGCAACGUCUCCUACAAGUUGUAGCUACUGGCAUGGUUCAAAAUUCACAAUGUUCUUCACGCUAGCAACCUAAAAGCCUACCACUCAGAUCCGCAAGAUGCUUCCCGAAGUGUUCCAACUUGGCUACCUCCCACCACUGCCUCCUACGAGAAGCGAGUUGAAACCAUUUUGGCGGACCGUAUGAUAAAGCUACCCAAUGGAGCUGAGCAGACAGAGUACUUGGUGAAGUGGCGAAAGCUUCCCCGAACUGAAACCAGUUGGGAGCCUGAAGACGCCCUACGACAUGAAGAAGCAAUCAUCAACAACUACCAACAAGCGUCGACGAGGGCGUCGUUAGUUUAAGUGGGGGAGAAUGUCACGAACGGUCGUCACGCACUCACAACAACUCCGUUCAACGGACCAUUCAUCGCUCACACCUACAUGUACAGCUGCUUGACAACAUGUUUUCUCUUGGUUUUGGGUCAUUUUGCUUGUAAAAAUGUAAGUUCGAACAAGCUGCAGUGUUACAAAGCGACCGCUCAUCGAACCGAGCAAAACAGCCCCAAAACAGCUUCAUUUUCAUGUGCCGCAGGCUGAUUUCUGGAAUCUGCCUCCGCUCACCAAAACAUCAGUCAUCUCAGCCCCUUGGAAUGCUCCGGGUGGCACAGGGCUGGAUGGGGCUUCGGUAUAGUACCGGACAUUAAACACUCCUUCGCAAGUUCGCAUGUUGCCUUGAUGGGAACUUGUUGUCGCGCCCAGGACUCAGUGAGCAGUUGUUUGUGGGCUUGCAGCUGUUCGUUCAACCUUCUAAAGCCCUUGUUUUCCCCCUCUCUCUCUUUUCUCUUGUGCACGCAAGGUGUUCGCUGAAUUGCUUGUAAAGCUUCCCCUUUUUGCGAGACUUCGAGACUUGUCCGUCGCUCGUUCUUUCGAACUAAUCAACUUUCUCUUUUACAGGUCCUUCGAGACCUGCGAGAGGUUGCAAGUGGGCUGAUCUUUGCGGAGCAAUAUCGCAAGGGCGAAGCGCGACUUAGGCAACGCAAGCUAAGUUUACGUCUUGGCCGCAAGGGUGCCUCACACCUUAAGUAAUUCUAGCUAAAACCGUGACAAUAUGGUGCUCCUAUAUUUGGUUAUUACUGAGGGUGUCUUUUUUUUCAUACUAUAACCAAUAUAUCUUUUAUAAAAACAAGAUAGUCAAUGUCCGUUGACCCCAUUUGACUCUGGGUUUUUUUUGGGCUGAAUGGGUUUGUUUGACUUAAAUCAGACUAGAGUGGUUCAAUAAAAGCUUUAAGUAUUGGAUUCUUUCCUACCUUAAUUGUCUUUCUUUCUUUCUCAAAUUACCCUACAUUAGGUCACAAUCAGCUAAUGCAAUAGCAAUGUCUCCUAAUCUUUUUGUAGUUGGUGGCCACCAUCAUCGCGGUCUCUAUUUGUUGCCUAAUCUUAGGCCUAGCGUAAUCUAGCGUGAGUACAAGCUUUAGCUCUUGCUAAAGCAACUACAGGCCAUCGUCAUAAAAAGAACAGAAAGGGGUCCCAUUGAACCUGGGUGAUGGCACUAUCACCAUUGGCUUCGUACCCCAUCCUUAAAGAGGAGAUGAAGGGGUCCCAUUGAGACUCGAUGGUGGUGUGUCGUCAUCCUAAGAGGUUAUCAUAGUGGUUGCGAGUCAUCGUCGUCAACGGGGCAAGCGAUGAUUGUCACUUUCUUGCUUGCAGUAUGUUAGCCUUCCCACCAAUCAUAUGUCAACUUUCUCACUAGUCAUCAUGGCUACGACCAUCAGUUGAGCCUCAGUAAUGAGUGGUCACCAAUAUCAACGUUCUCUUUUCCACUAAAGUCUAUCGUCAUCGUCAUCAAUGAAACCAUAUAUUGAGCCUCGGUGCCAAGUACACCAAUAGAGCUGUAACUUAGUGUUCGCCAAUGUCCUCAUUCCUGUUGGUCAUUGUCACCUCCAACGAAGCCUUGUAAAACCUUGAUGAUUAGUUGUAACAUUAGAGCUGUAACUUUUGAUUAAUUUUUGUUCUCUACAUUGGCUAUAGGAGGUGAUUUUUUUUAUAUAGUAUACCUAUAUAAGUCUACAUAUAUAAUUUUUUGGCAUGUGAGUUGCAACAUUAUGAAACAUUAUAAACUUGUGAUAAUUUUGAAUCUUGAUUUAUCAUUUUCUAAUUGAUGUUACAAUCCUUGUUAUAUUUUUUGUUUUUGAUGAUUUGCAGAGUGGAUUUUAAUUUAGGAUAUUUUUAUGUUGAGAUAUGUUUUGUUCAGAUCACGGCAUGCCAAAUUUCAUUAAUUAUACUAAAAUUAUGAAAAAAAUUAAAAAAAUUACUAUUAAUCAACUUAGAAUCAUGUUAUGGAAGUUCUAGAGAAUUUGAUUCUGAUUUGGGUGAAUUUUAACUUAAGCUAUACUUGAGGUAUGGAUAGGACACGAUUACGAUCUAACAUUCGAUCAUCGUAUGUCAAAUUUCAUUAAUUACAUUAAAAUUAUAAAAAAAAUUAUGAUUAAUUAACUUAGAAUCAUGUCAUGGUAGUUCUAAAGAAUUUAGUUUUGAUUUGAGUAAAUUUUAACUCCUGAGUUACAAAUAGGAUAGACUUAGGAUCUAACAUUAUGAUCAUAGCCAUGUCAAAAUCCUAUUAAUUAUACUAAAAUCAUAUAAAAUUUUAAAAAUUAGUACUAAUCAAUUUAAAAUCAUGUCACAGUAGUUUUUGAUAAAUUUUGAUCGAUUCUAUUUAUUGUAACUCGAGUUAUACUCGAUCAUAAUUUCAGUUCAAGUCAUAAUUGUAACAUUGCCUAGUAGUGGUGGUACUACUAGAUAGACAGUUGUACCACUUACAUCAAUGCUCUAUUGACCUGGUGGUGGUGCCCAGUAAUGGUGAUGCACAUAUAUAUUAUGAGGUAUAUUGUGGAAGUAUACGUAUAUGCUACGAUAUGUGAUAUGAGAGUAUACAUUUAUAUUAUAACGUGUGGUCUAGGAUUGCAUGUAUAUGUUAUGAUAUACAGUAUAUGAAUAUAUAUAUAUAUAUAUAUAUAUAUAUAUAUAUAUUAUGACAUGCGGUAUGGAUUAUACGUAUAUAUUACGAUGACGUACGGUGUGAGAGUGCACGUAUAUAUUAUGAUAUGAGGUAUAGAAGUUCAUGAAUAUACUAUAAUUCCUACAUGUGCAUAUAUGCAUUUUAAGUUAUUUCAAUAUAGAAUUUUAUAUCUUUAUUGUGCAUAUGUUAUGUGUUGGGAAACUUGGAUAGAGUAUCAUAUGUAUAGCGGAAGAACAGAGAAUAAAAUAUAAAAUUUCCAAAGAAAAAAGUUCUUGUUAUUAAAGGAGAUUGGUGCACAAAAUAAAAUACAAAAUCGAAACCGCAUGUAUAAAAUGAGAUUUGUUACUAAACGAGAUUGUAUAUCCUUAUAAAAUCCUAAAUAUAAAGGAGUGGAUGAAGGAGGUCAACUGUCCUCCUCUCUGGUAGUGAUCCACAUAGUAGAUGCGGUGAAGACGCUCCUCAAAUCACUGCCCGAUCUUCCUCUCCACGUGCACCACAUGAUCAAGAAGGGGUCGGCCCUUCUUGCCGUCCACAUGCCCUAAAUUGGGGCUGUCGACUAAGAAGGGGAGGGAGGGAGGAGAAUAGGAGGUGAUAGCCAAAAAUGGUCUAACCUAUGCCCCUUUGGUUCCCUCCUAUUUAUAGAGAAUCUGUUAACUUAACUCAAAUGGAUCAUGCUCUAUUGGGUAUUGGAUCUUCAUCCAACUAUCUAAGCCUCUUGGAUUAGUGGAUUUCUACCCAAUAAUCUCUCAUUGACCCUUAUUGGAUUUUAUCCACAAGAUCCAAUAAUCCAUGGGCUUACUGAAUAUCCAAUAAGAUAUAGGCUCCAAUAGAUACCUAUAUUUGUCGCAACACCUACCAUAUGUAUAUGACCCUCUAGACCUAAUAUCGAGUUAGUCAUGAGUCAUACAUAUCAGAACUCCUUCUGACUCAGUGAAUUAUCAUCUCCAUAAUAAUUCACUUAACUCAUUGAUUAUGGACGUAUUAGGCCACUACGCCGCAGUCCCCAGAUGAUAUAGGGGAUUGGGCCGGAGUGAAGAAUCAAAUGUUGAGUCGGAAUGAACAUGUCAGAAGAUUGGACAUUGGGCUGGAGGAUCGAUCGACGUGUUGGUAGAAAGACUUCAUGCCCUGUGUUCGGGCAUUGGACCGAAGGAUCGGACAUUGCGUCAAGGAAAUCAGAUAUUGCAGAAGGUCAACAUGUCGAUUGGGUAAUACGCCAAAGGAGAGGACAAUGCGCCGAAGGAUUGGACGAAGUGUUAGAUAAACCAAUGACAUGUCGGACAAUAUAGAAUUCAUACUUGUAAUCAUUUGUUUAGAUCGAAGUAGUUUAGGGGGCUAAUUGAGUUAGUUUUUGGUGUAAUCAUGCUAACUCGAUUAGGAGUCAAUUGAGCCUCAAUUGGGAUUAUUUUGGGCCAAGAGGAAGGCUUAUUCAGUGACCCAAAAGUUGGGUCAAGCGAUGGCACCGCUUAUAAGUUGGAAAAGUCAAAAGCCCAAUCUCUGAUGUUGUUAGGCGGUGGUACUGUCUAGUGUCAAACUGACAAGUGGUGGUAUCGUCGGUACCCUGAAAACCCAGGAUGAGACCAUUUUGGCUCUAAAUUUGAGUCCAUUUGGGGUAUAUAAAUACCCUACUCAUCCCUACUCGGUUCACACAAGAACUGAGAACAAAAAACUUGAGAAAACGCUAUUGUAAUCUUGUGAGAAUUCCCCUUCUAUUCUCUAAGUUUAAUUUCAAUUUAAGGGGUUAGUGACUUGAAAAUGAGAAAAGGGUUGUAAAAGGGUAGUUGAUCUUCACCCGUAAAAGAAGAUCGAUAGUGGAAGUUGGUGGUCUCGAUAGACGAGGAAUCGAGAGUGGACGUAGGUCACGAUGAUCGAACCACUAUAAAUCUGGUGUGCCCUUUUCUCUUACUAUUUACCUACAUUGUUUUCUUAUUUAACUAUCUACUACUUUUGCUUGCACUUUUAUGAACGUUUUUAAGUUUAAAUUCAUUUCUGUUACGGGCUUUAUCGAAUGAAAAUUUUUAAAUCGAUGAUUUUGACCAAAAGCACUAAUUCAUCCCCUCUCUUAGUAUCGAUUUCGAUCCUAACAGUUGGUAUCGGAGUCAUAUUACCCUCAGUUGAUUUAACACCCAAGAGAAUGGCUUUUACCGACAAUAUAGAGGGUCACUCUAUCACUCGUCCUCUUAUGUUCAAUGAGACGAACUACACGUAUUGAAAAACACGAAUGAAAGUUUUUUUGCUUUCUCUGAACUUUGAUUUAUGAUAUAUUAUCGAAUAUGGUUUUCAACAACCUUUUAAACCUAUGAACGAAUGGAAUGAUUUUGAGAAAAAAAUCGUUUCCUUUAAAUGCUAAAGUUAUGAAUUUUUUUUUUUGUGCUUUAGAUAAAAAUGAGUUUAAUCGUAUUUCGAUAUGCGAAAAUGUACAUGAUAUUUGAAACUAAGUGAAACCAUUAUCUCACAUAUACACCUAUUUUACAUAUAUCGUUAACGAUUUAAUAACAUUUAGUAAAAGUUUUGAACUUGUAAAUAAAAUACUAAAAUUCUUUCCAAAAAGUUAGGAUCCUAAAGUGAUGGUAAUAUAAGAAGUAAAGGACUUGAACAAUUUUGCUUUUGAAGAACUGAUCGAAUCUUUAAUGACCUAUGAAAUGAUUUGUAUGACAUAUGACGAACACGAGAACAACCUUCCAAACAAGAAGGAUUUGAUACUUAAAACCAAAGAAGACCACUUGAGAGAAAACUCAAGUGAUGAUGAUGAUGAUGAUGAUGAUGAUGAUGAUGACCUUAAACUCCUCACAAUAAAAUUUAAGAAUCUAAGAAUAAAAAUAAACUUAAAAAUGAUAAAAUAACUUGCUAUGAAACCAAUUGGCCAGAGUAUGCAACUCUUACCAAUCACAACUCUUUGUGAUUCUCGUCCUGUUUGACCUCCGAACCACCAUGGCCUUAAGGGACUCGACCAACCAUGAUGUUUGAUUAAGUCAUUACCAUUAUUAAGAUGAGUUCGAUUUGAUGAUAUGCUUGUAGGGAAAUCUAGGGGCGAUAUCACAUGCGCAACAGAAUAACAUAAAAUAAAAAGUCUAAAUUUUCCAAAAAGGCAUUCGUCGUCGUACGAAGAUUGGUGCGUAAAACUCGCGAAACUGAAAACUACGUGUGAGAUAAUUGUGUUACCUAGGGAGAUCAUAUAUCCCUGAAUUCCUACAUAUAUGUGAGAGAUGAUGAAAGAGAUUAAGUGUCAUCUUCUCUAGCGGUAAUUUAAAUGGCAGGGACUACGAAGACACUCCUCAACUCGUUGCUCAAAUCUUUAAACCUACUAUAUGAGGAGAAGAAGGGGAGAGGAGAAUAGGAGGUGGCAACUAAGAAGUAUAUGACCUAUGGAUCUUUGGUUCUCUCCUAUUUAUAGAGACCCUCUAUCUACUUAACCCUAAUGGAUUUUACCUUAUUGGGUUUGGAUCUUCAUCCAAUUAUCCAAGCAUCUUAGAUUAGUGAAUCUCUAUCCAAUAAUCUCUCAAUGACUCCUAUUAGAUAUCAUCCAUAAGAUCCAAUAAUUUAUGGGCUAGUAUCGAAGCCCGGCACUUACCAACCAAGUUCAUACCCAACCAACCAUUCCAUUCCUGGUCAUAGAACACAUAGUAAAUGACUAUCGAGAACCUGCAGCUGCAAUUCGAGUGGUUCCGAUUAGAAUCAUCAAUUUUUUUUAUUUAUUUAUUAAUUAAAAAUAAUAUUAAAUAAAAAAUUAUAAAUUUAUUUUAAAAAUAAAAUUAAAAAAAUAAAAUCAAAGUAAUCGAGGAUUUGAACCGAAAUCGCAAGUUCUAUAACUGACGAUUUCGAUUUUUCAAAUCUAAGAACUAAAAUCAAACCAUUCGAUUCGGAACCGAUGAACCAUCGGAUCAAUUCAGUCCCACUUUUUCGAGUUCGAUUCUGGUUCCAAUCGAACUGCUGUCCACCUAUCCAUAAUAAACCUUUGCUGGCAAAUCAUGGGUUAGCAAUAACCCAAAAGAUUUAGCCGUGAAGAAAGGAUUCGAUAUAUAAGCUUGGGAAGCACAAAUCCACGUCGGCCCCGUGACUCAGCCACCUAAACAACUUGAUUAAAAGAAAUCCAGCUUGAUAUGAAACCAAAGCCUCACACUUUCCUGAUGGAAGAGCCAAAGUACAAAGGAAACUAAGCAUGCUUGAAACAGAGGUAUUCCUCAGAAGGAAUUAUAACUUUUGUAAGACUCACUCUAUGGAUACUAAACAUUUGAGGCAGAAACAUGUAAGAAGCAAUAUGGAACUCUUAGAUUUCGGUGACCAAGAACAGCAGAAAAACAAAAUAAGUUGUGCUAUGAUCAGAUAAACGAGUUGAAAAUCUUUCAUUUUACAGGGGACAGCUAUUUGCUAAUCCCCAUCAUAGGAAUUAGACUUCAGAAUUUACUAGUAGUUUCAACCAGUCAGGAAGAACAUCCAUCUUCCAAAGUUUCAACACAAGGUCUGAAUUACACCUUAAUAGACAGUCCGACGAGACCAUCGAGUGAAUAAGAAGUAUUUUAGUUCACAUGUUCUUUCUUGACGUGUUGGAUAAACCAGUUCAGCAUGUCCUGAUGUGCCUCUUGAGCGCGCUUAACAGCUGCAGCAUCAUCGGCUUUGUGUCUGACAGUCCAUCCAUGAGCAACCCCAGGAAAUAUCUUUACAAUGUGUCUUUC
rnacentral:lncRNA from 1 species